ACUCUCUCGAUCUUUCUCUCGGAGCCGCGCGCCUGAAUCAGACGUGUCGCCGGAAUGUUCAGCAACAAUUUGUGCAAGUCUGCAUAAAUUGUUGCUGAACACUUCCUAUUAAUUGAGAUUACUCUAAAAUAUCCUCCAAUUGCCGCGCUUUCAUUACAACGUUCAGUUCGUUAUUUUCAACCUUACAAGCUGUACCCAACUUUCGCCUGGAACACACAAGUUCUUCCAGCAGCCAGUAGAGACGCAGUGAAGAAAUACUCGUCUUCGAGUAACCAACGCACUCUACUGGGAAAUGAUCUGGCGAGAGGAAUAUCAGCUGUUGAGGAUCUACUGCUGAUUUAUUAUAGUUUUUUUAAUCGGUUCUCUACAUGUUGUGGAAAUUUUAGUUAAUUUUAGAAUCAUUCUAAUUAAUUUUUAAUAGUUUUGAGCUAUGUUUCUAUAUUCUAUUCAUAUUGUGAUUGUACUAAGAGAGCAAACCUACCACUGAAACUUAUGACCUGUAUUCUAUAAUUUAAUAUUUUCAUUUAUAUUUGUGACUCGUAAAUAUUAUUCGUGUACUUUCUAUUAUAAUUUGGUUUGUGCCCCGGAUUGCAGGAAUAUUCUGCUGAAAAUACUAAUCCUGGGACUUGGGCUAAAGGAAUGGGAGACCACUUAAUGCGAAUGUAGUCACAUUUUAAUCAUUGUAUAUCGAUGUUAGUGUUUUAGUGAUUAUGUAUUUGUGUCUAGUAUAUUGUUAUGUGGUGACUGGUCGCUGCCUGCGCCGCUACCAUCGAGGCGGUCAGAACUGCAAGGUUACUUUAUGUUAGUGUGUGGACAGGAUUAUUCUAAUAUUACAAGCAGGUAUACUCAUCUCUAUAUAGUGUUUUUCGGCUUCUAUACUUAAUAAUAGCCUAAUAAUAGUAAUGUAAUCGAUUUAUAUACUACUUUCUGCCAACAUUGUACAGGUCGUGGCGCGGCGAAAACAGCAUUGUGGUGGAGGCUGAAGACCUCCCCUACGGUGGUAACGUCGAGUUUGAAGCAAAUAUUUGCACGACCUUUUAAAGGUGUACCCCAGUAUGUUGCGAGGGUCCACUUUAUAAAUCGAUAUCACAGAAUUGCGUCUGUCCAACAUUAACAAAUGCAAUUUGAUCAUUUUCUCAUUUUUAUAAAGGUAAUUUGUCUAAGACUGUCAUUCAGUUGAUGAGAUGCAGUGGGUCGUUUUUACAAUUCGAUAUCAGUUUCUGUAUAGUUAAUUUGUUUUAUAUUCUUUAUGUAUAAAAUACUAUUCUUAUUAUUUUGUUAUCCAUUAUUAAAGUUUCUUCGAAAUAUUGUCAUUAUACUGUUAAGUAGUUGAUGUUAUAAUUGGAUACAAAUUAGAUCAGGCGAACUUUCAUAGGAACAUAAAUUUAAAAUACUUACUGUUCUUUAAAUGAUUUAUAUAAUUAUUAAAUUAUUCGACUUUAGUGUUGAUGUGUUUGAGAGUGAUGCUUCUAGAUUAUUUUCAGAUUGUUAUUCUGUUUAGGGAGCCAACUUACAAAAACAAUAGAAGCAUCGCGUGACCUUUAUACGUUACAGAUAAUUUAAUGCGCUAUAUUCUUUAUUAAUUUUAAAUUUUUAUUUGUGUUUGUGAUGAGUUAGCAACUGUAUUCUUGUAUUCUAUUCGUCUUGUUAUUCAGUUCAUUCCCCGGACUGCAGGAAAAUUCCGAUGAUAACACUAGUCCUGGGAGUUUGCCUAUUGGAAUGAGACAACGCUGAAUGCAAAAGGAGGCAUAUUUUAACUGUUUUGUAUCGGUGUUAGUAUUUUAAAUAUCAUGAAUGUCUAUAUAUUCAUUUAUAUGUUCCCACACCAUCUGUCACGAAAUAGCGUACAUGGGUGUUGAAAGGAACUUUAGGACUCUAUGUCAGUCAUUGGAAAAUAGUAUAAUAAUAUGUAUUAAUCUUAUUUAACUAGCCUCUGAUGAAGAGGUCCGGACAGUAAUUUUACCACAGGAGGCUGCUGCAGCGUGAUCGGUCGCCAUCGCCUCAUCAGAUGUUCAGCAGGGUGCACCACGCGCCGGUGAAGUCGGCUUAGCAUUCAAAAUAGUAAUACAGACUGCCCAUACCUUAUAAAAUUUGUGGAAUUUAAAAUUAGCAAAACAUGCGAACUAUGUGUCUGUAUUUUCAAUAGUGUCUGUCGGACUGUUGUGGUUUGAGUAGUAUCAUGAUUAAUGUAUGCGCAAAGUGCGAGAUUUUUUUGUACUCGCUACUUAUCUAUCUUGUUAGUGUGUAAGCAAUGUAACAAUGUAACAGUAACAUGUUUAGUGGUGUAUUGUAGCAAACGCGAAAACGCGAACAUUGUGGAUUAUUUCUCAUCCAGAUAAUCUCUUUAAAUUACACAUUUUUUGAAUAUUAGAUACAUAAACUAAUUAUGUAUCAUAAGUGAAAUAAUCAUGUCUUAAGGAUUGGAUCUUGGCCCACCCCGCAAGGUUCGUGGUCGGUGGGUCGCCACGCCUCGCAUACGGAUCGGCAGGGUGCACCACGCGGCGCUGAGGGUGGCUUGGCUUUGGAAACAUAUUUAGAGGAACUUUUUAACCCAUAAUGGAUGUAAUUUCAUAUUAGCAAAUCAUGCGAUCUUUGUGUCUGUACUUUUGAUGUUUAAGUGUCUGACUAUCAAUAUUUCAGUAGUAAUUUAAUCAUUCAUAUCCGCGCAAAGGACGAGGCUCUUCUGUAUUGUAAUCUAACUUGUUAGUUUGUAAGCAGUGUAACAAUAUUUAAAGGAUUAAAAAAUAAAGGCUCCAAGCGAA
rnacentral:lncRNA from 1 species